rnacentral:rRNA from 1 species
UACGUAGGUGGCAAGCGUUGUUCGGAAUCAUUGGGCGUAAAGGGCGUGUAGGCGGUUUGUCGCGUCGGGAGUGAAAACCAUGAGCUUAACUCAUGGCUUGCUUUCGAUACGGGCAGACUAGAGGCAUGCAGGGGAGAACGGAAUUCCUGGUGUAGCGGUGAAAUGCGCAGAUAUCAGGAGGAACACCGGUGGCGAAGGCGGUUCUCUGGGCAUGUCCUGACGCUGAGGAGCGAAAGUGUGGGGAGCGAACAGG